CAGCUGUCCUGUUUCGAGUUCUGCCUCCCCAUCACACUCACCCAUGGAAAUCUAAGAGCUGGAAAUACAUUCAUCUUACAUUAAUCACACGUGUCUGGGUGAAAAGAUGUCCCACAGCUGGGGUGCAACAGCUGUGUAGGUCUGCGGAAAAGAAAAAAAUCUCAAUAGCCCAAAACCUCAAUGUAAUUCUGGGCUGCUUUGUUCAGAUCUCACCAGGAAUACCAUGUUCAGUUCUGGCUACCACAGUUCAAAAAGGAUAAAGAGAAACUGGAAUGUGUCCAAAGAGGUGCAACCACGAUGAUCAAAAGUCUGGAAUCUAA
rnacentral:lncRNA from 11 species